rnacentral:rRNA from 1 species
AACCUGCCCAAGAGAUCGGGAUAACACCUGGAAACAGAUGCUAAUACCGGAUAACAANAGAUGAUGCCUAUCAACUGUUUAAAAGAUGGUUCUGCUAUCACUCUUGGAUGGACCUGCGGUGCAUUAGCUAGUUGGUAGGGUAACGGCCUACCAAGGCGAUGAUGCAUAGCCGAGUUGAGAGACUGAUCGGCCACAUUGGGACUGAGACACGGCCCAAACUCCUACGGGAGGCAGCAGUU